rnacentral:rRNA from 1 species
UUGGAGGGCAAGUCUGGUGCCAGCAGCCGCGGUAAUUCCAGCUCCAAUAGCGUAUAUUAAAGUUGUUGCAGUUAAAAAGCUCGUAGUUGAAUUUCGGGAUCAGUACGCUGGUCGUGCCUUCGGUAUGCACUGGUGUCACUGAUUCCUCCCUUCUGAGAACCGUAAUGCCAUUCAGUUGGUGUUGCGGGGAAUCAGGACUGUUAGUCUUAAGUAAAA